GGAGCUUAAGUGUUGGGCUGGGGCGUUCUGGGGGUGUUCAGGGCACCUUGGAAGUACCUUGGUGUGCUUGCCAUCUCUCCCUCAGACUGCAGCCCCCUUGGGCCAGAUACUGUCUCUUCAACUUGGUACCAAGUACUCAGCAAGUGCCAAGCCAAGAGCAGGGCAGGCAGCCAAUUAUUUUUUGUUAACUGAAUGCGUAAGUCUUAGAAUGGAGCCUGACCGUGUCACAUGUAUGGUAGGAACAUGUUGGAGGCAGGGAAAUGUUUUCAAGGUUGUGGACACCUUUGCAGAGUGAACAGGGCCACGCUCCAUAUCCUGCUUUCUCCAGGCCUUUAAGGAAGUGUGUCAGACGCCCACAGGCAGAGCUGGAAAACGUGGCCUUUGCUAAAGAUACAGAAGAGCCCGGAGAUGCACAACGGCUGGGUCAUUGGUGUGCUUGUCUGAUCAUGAAGUAGUGAUUUUUGAGAAAUCCUUGGACCUUGUGUGAGGAUCAAAGACUCCCUUCUUCUGGACAGUGUUGGAAAAUCCUGGAAAAAUGCUUCCUCUGGGGCCCUGUGUAUCUUCCAUCUGGGAAAACCGUUAAAAGCAAUCAGGUAAAGAAAUAUUUUUGUGAUAUGUUGUGACUUUCUUAAAGUAAUAAAGUAGAAGAGAUUUUAAAUGAAAAAUAUACAUAAUUGCAAAAUCUCUUGAUUCUUAGCUAUUUCUGAACAGAUUUCAUGCCCCCCGUAUAACCUUUUGUUGGGGAAAGAGGAGAAAGGAAAGGAAAAACUAAAAUCACUUUUGUUUUCAUAGUUCUGUUUUUUUUAUCCUUUGCUAAACCCAUUUUCCAUGGUUGGUCAUAUGAUUUGGAUUGAAAGGACUUUUCCUCUGGCCUUGGAGCACGGAGGCAGCUAAUAUGUUUGCGCAGUGGUUCACGCCUAUAAUCCCAGCACUUUGGGAGGCUGAGGCGGGAGGAUCACCUGAGGUCGGGAGUUCGUGACCAGCCUGGCCAACACGGUGAAACCCCGUCUGUACUAAAAAUAUAAAAAUUAGCCGGUUAUGGUGGCGCAUGCCUAUAGUUCCAGCUACUUGGGAGGCUGAGGCAGGAGAAUCACUGGAACUGGGAGGUAGAGGUUGCAGCGAGCCAAGAUCACGCCACUGCUCUCCAGACUAGGCAAUAGAGCAAGACUCCAUCUCAAAAAAAAAAAAAAAAAAAAAGUACAUGAAUAAAUAAAUAACAGCUUCUUGUUUAAUCAGUUUUCUCUAUCGUUAUAAAUUCUGUCUCAUUGACUUAUUCUUUAAUCUUUAUUAUUUCUUCUUUUCUACUGAUUUUGUGUUUGAUGUAUUUAUACUGUUUCUAGUUUUUGAAGGCAGAAACUGAGGUCACUGAUUUGAAGCCUUUCUCCUCUCCUAAUAGAGGCAUUUCAUGCUGUAAAAUUUCCCCAAAGUACUGAUUUAAUAACAUCCUACAAAUUUUGAUGUUUUAAUUUUCAUUUUUUAUUAAUUUCAAAAUACACUCUAAUUUCCCUUUUGAUUUUAUAAUAUUUUAAUAAGUAUUUUUCAGUUAUGAAAAUAAAUAAGUACUGAUAAAUGCUACCUGGAACCAUCAAGAAUGACCCUUGAAAACAUUCUGCUCAGUGAAAGAAGGGCAGUCACAAAAGACCACAUAUUGUAGGAUUCAAUUUGCAUGAAAUCUCCACAGUCGGUCAAUCCACAGGGCCAGAAAAUAAAUCUGUGGAGUACAGAGCGUCUCCCAGAAGCCAGGGGUUGUGAGGAGGAGGAAAUGGAGAAUAAUUGCUAAUGGGUAUCACAGUUCCUCUUAGGGGGAUGAAAACCUUCUGGAGUUAGACAGUGGUGAGAGCUGGACAGCUUUGUCAACAUACCAAGAACUAUUGAAUUGUAUGCUUUAAAAGGACGAAUAUUAUGGUCCGUGAAUUGUCUUUUAAUAAAGGUCUUAUUUUAAAAAACAAGCUAGGCACCUAGGGUAUAAAAUUGAAGGAGGCUCUGAUUCUCAGGGCCACGCAAAUGCAGGGUUGGCACCUAUGAGUGUGGCCCUCCUGAAAUGUUGUGCCUUAGGCACCUGGCUCUCCCUAAUUCAGGCCCUCAGGAGAAAGCCCUAAUUCUGGUCAGUUCGAAACAGGAGGACACGGCUUCUGGGAGACACUCGGUGCUCCAGAGAGAGGCAUUUGGUCCGUUCUCUUCCUCUGGA
ensembl:lncRNA